rnacentral:rRNA from 1 species
CCUACGGGUGGCAGCAGUGGGGAAUAUUGGGCAAUGGGCGCAAGCCUGACCCAGCAACGCCGCGUGAAGGAAGAAGGCUUUCGGGUUGUAAACUUCUUUUCAGAGGGAAGAGGAGAAGACGGUACCUCUUGAAUAAGCCACGGCUAACUACGUGCCAGCAGCCGCGGUAAUACGUAGGUGGCAAGCGUUGUCCGGAUUUACUGGGUGUAAAGGGCGUGCAGCCGGGAAAACAAGUCGGAAGUGAAAACCCGCGGCUCAACCGCGGAACCGCAUUUGAAACUGGUAUUCUUGAGUACAGGAGAGGUCAGCGGAAUUCCUUGUGUAGCGGUGAAAUGCGUAGAUAUUAGGAAGAACACCAGUGGCGAAGGCGGAUGACUGGACGGCAACUGACGGUGAGGCGCGAAAGCGUGGGGAGCAAACAGGAUUAGAUACCCUUGUAGUC